GAUGAACGCUGGCGGCGUGCCUAAUACAUGCAAGUCGAGCGAACAGACGAGGAGCUUGCUCCUCUGACGUUAGCGGCGGACGGGUGAGUAACACGUGGAAAACCUACCUAUAAGACGGAGAAAAUUUCGGGAAACCGGAGCUAAUACCGGAUAAUAUAUUGAACCACAGGGUUCAUUAGUGAAAGACGGUUUUGCUGUCACUUAUAGAUGGUUCCGCGCCGCAUUAUCUAGUUGGUAAGGUAACGGGUUACCAAGGCAACGAUGCGUAGCCGACCUGAGAGGGUGGUCGGCCACACUGGAAGUGAGACACGGUCCAGAGUCCUGAGGGAGGCAGCAGUAGGGAAUCUUACGCAAUGGGCGAGAGCCUGACGGAGCAACGCGGCGUGAGUGAUGAAGGUGUUCGGAUCGUAAAACUCUGUUAUUAGGGGAGAACAAAUGUGUAAGUAAAUAUGCACGGCUUGACGGUACCUAAUCAGAAAGCAACGGCUAACUACGUG
rnacentral:rRNA from 1 species